AAAUACUUCAGCCGGCCGCGAAAGCCAGGCCUCAUAUUUUGUUGUGUAAUGAUCCCUUCCGUAGGGUGACCUGCGGAGGGAUCAUUACACAACAAAAUAUGAAGGCCUGGCUUUCGCGGCCGGCUGAAGUAUUUUUUUCACCCAUGUCUUUUGCGCACUUGUUGUUUCCUGGGCGGGUUCGCCCGCCACCAGGACCAAACCAUAAACCUUUUUUUCUUAUGCAGUUUCCAUCAGCGUCAGUAAAAACAAUGUAAUUAUUACAACUUUCAACAACGGAUCUCUUGGUUCUGGCAUCGAUGAAGAACGCAGCGAAAUGCGAUACGUAGUGUGAAUUGCAGAAUUCAGUGAAUCAUCGAAUCUUUGAACGCACAUUGCGCCCUUUGGUAUUCCAAAGGGCAUGCCUGUUCGAGCGUCAUUUGUACCUUCAAGCUUUGCUUGGUGUUGGGCGUUUUUUUGUCUCCCUCUUUCUGGGAGACUCGCCUUAAAACGAUUGGCAGCCGGCCUACUGGUUUCGGAGCGCAGCACAUUUUUUGCGCUUUGUAUCAGGAGAAAAGGACGGUACUCCAUCAAGACUCUACAUUUUUCACUUUUGACCUCGGAUCAGGUAGGGAUACCCGCUGAACUUAAGCAUAUCAAUAAGCCG
rnacentral:rRNA from 1 species